GACGAACGCUGGCGGCGUGCUUAACACAUGCAAGUCGAGCGGUAAGGCCCUUUCGGGGGUACACGAGCGGCGAACGGGUGAGUAACGCGUUGGUGACCUACCCCAAAGUGUGGGAUAACAGUCCGAAAGGAUUGCUAAUACCGCAUGUGGUCUUCGGGUUUAGAAACCGAUGACGAAAGCAGCAAUGCGCUUUGGGAGGGACCUGCGUCCCAUCAGCUAGUUGGUGAGGUAACGGCUCACCAAGGCGACGACGGUAGGGGACCUGAGAGGGUGACCCCC
rnacentral:rRNA from 1 species